CCCCUUUUAGGAUUGCACCCGGAGAGUUUCCAGUACUCUACCUGUCUCGGCUACAGGAGGGAGAGCCAAGCAGGGGCAUACCCCCUCCAUUCCUAGCUUGGCCCGUGGCUUGUGAGUGGAAGGCAACCUGCUACAAAU